rnacentral:tRNA from 1 species
GGCGACUUAGCCAAGUGGUAAGGCAGCGGUCUGCAAAACCGCCAUCCCGGGUUCGAUUCCCGGAGUCGCCUCCA